rnacentral:tRNA from 1 species
AUGGACUUUGUCGCUUCUGCUGAACCACGUCCUUCUAAGCCGUAGGUCACAGGUUCGAAUCCUGUAGGGCGUACCA